GGAGCAAUUUCUUUUUGUUUAGAGCAUUGGUGGCUCCACGUUAGACGCAUGCUAUGCAGCCAUUCCGGCUACAGCUGCCCAAGUCUGCCUGAGCCUCCUGCAUGAGGUCAUCGGUCUUAAUAAAGCCACUGACCCCACACUCGGAAUUGUACUGACUUUUCCAGCUAACAGCCAACACAUUGUCGAGAAGCAAUUCAGUUGUUGAGGAUAUCACAUCAUGCCAGUGAAAGAGAGAUGGAAUUCAGAAAACCUGGGAUAUUGCAGUUCAGAUAAAUUGCACUUGGCCAACGGAAACGUCCUAAGGGCAUUGCGGCUGCAGCUGGAGGAGGAAGACGACAUCAAAUUAGGGCUUUUGUCACUGUUGCUUGAUUUCAUUAAAGGGCAUUAGUUUUCCGCGAGAUGUAUGGGAUUGGAGAGGAGAGGAGCUGGAAGCCCCCAGAACAGCAGCAAGGCCAGUGCCGGUGAGGACCCUGAGCUGUUCUGCUACCACGUGCCUGGACUGCAUUGUGCUUCCCGCCCUGCCGUGCCGGCCCAGCGGUGCUCUGCUCCAUCCCCCUCAGCCGGCCUGAGACCGGCCCCCAGUGCGUUGUGACUCCUGGGGUCUCUCCGUUGUCCCUCAGCCCCCAGGAGAAUUGCCCUCCCCUGCAGAAGCUGCCUGAUGGGGAGGCUGCCCCCUCUCCGGGACUGACUGACCCAGGUUUAUCCUGAAAGCAGCCUCUCCCCAGGUCAGAAG